rnacentral:rRNA from 1 species
GACGUAGGAGGCGAGCGUUAUCCGGAUUCACUGGGCGUAAAGCGCAUGUAGGCGGUUGCACAAGUCCGUUGUUAAAGCCCCUGGCUCAACUGGGGGAGGUCAAUGGAGACUGUGCGACUUGAGGGCAAUAGAGGCACGUGGAACUCCCGGUGUAGCGGUGGAAUGCGUAGAGAUCGGGAAGAACACCAGUGGCGAAGGCGACGUGCUGGGUUGCACCUGACGCUGAGGCGCGAAAGCGUGGGGAGCGAACAGG